rnacentral:rRNA from 1 species
GGAAGUAAAAGUCGUAACAAGGUUUCCGUAGGUGAACCUGCGGAAGGAUCAUUAACAAAUCUCUGCGUGCGGUACAGCCGAAAGGCUGCCACCAGCACACAUAAGCACCCUAGGGCACACGCCCUAGUGUGAGGGGGGCCUACGGAGCAAUCCAGCGGCCCCCACAGGUCAUUCGUGACCACAUUAACGCUUGUUUGUUUGACAGAGUUAUGUGAAUACACAAAUUGACAACUUUUAACAAUGGAUCUCUUGGCUCUUGCAACGAUGAAGAACGCAGUGAAAUGCGAAAAGUAAUGCGAUUUGCAUGAAUCUGUGAGUCAUCAAGUCUUUGAACGCAUCUUGCACCGUAUGAGCAAUUGUACGGUAUACCUGUUUGAGAAUCGUAAAGACCCCUUUCCUCUCCCCAGAGGAGAAUUGUCAGCUGUCCGCAGUAGUGUGGACUCUGAUUAAAAGCAGUAGGUGUGUGACCUGGCUGGUGGCCUGGGACAUUGUGUGCUAGAGACACGGUUCAUCCGAACGUCUUCCUCACAGUGCGUCCCGGGUCUUACAAGCUGGCUAGGCCACUGCCUGCACAGUACGCAAGUACAACCCCCAAACUUUGAUCUCAAAUCAGGUAAGGCUACCCGCUGAACUUAAGCAUAUCAAUAAGCGGAGGA